rnacentral:rRNA from 1 species
AAUAUUGGUCAAUGGAGGCAACUCUGCACCAGCCACGUCGCGUGAAGGAUGACGGCCCUACGGGUUGUAAACUUCUUUUAUACAGGAAUAAAGUGAGUCACGUGUGACUUCUUGCAUGUACUGUAUGAAUAAGCAUCGGCUAACUCCGUGCCAGCAGCCGCGGUAAUACGGAGGAUCCAAGCGUUAUCCGGAUUUAUUAGGUUUAAAGGGUGCGCAGGCGGAAGACUAAGUCGGCAGUGAAAUUUUGCAGGUCAACUGUAAAAGUGCCAUCGAUACUGGUUUUCUUGAGUGUGGAUGAAGUAGGCGGAAUUUGUGGUGUAGCGGUGAAAUGCAUAGAUAUCACGAGGAACUCCGAUUUCGCAGGCAGCUUACUAGGCCAUAACUGACACUCAGGCACGAAGGCGUGGGGAUCAAAC